rnacentral:rRNA from 1 species
UGGGGAAUAUUGGACAAUGGGCGAAAGCCUGAUCCAGCAACGCCGCGUGAGGGAUGACUGCCUUCGGUUGUAAACCUCUUUCAGUACCGACGAAGCGCAAGUGACGGUAGGUACAGAAGAAGCACCGGCCAACUACGUGCCAG